GACGAACGCUGGCGGCGUGCUUAACACAUGCAAGUCGAACGGUGAAGCACCUUCCUUUUGGUGGGUGUGGAUGAGUGGCGAACGGGUGAGUAACACGUGAGUAACCUGCCCCCUUCUUCUGGAUAACCGCAUGAAAGUGUGGCUAAUACGGGAUAUUCUGUGCCUGCUGCAUGGUGGGUGUGGGAAAGAUGCGCUUUUGGGUGUUUUUGGUGGGGGAUGGGCUCGUGGCCUAUCAGCUUGUUGGUGUGGUGAUGGCCUACCAAGGCGGUGACGGGUAGCCGGCAUGAUAGGGUGGACGGUUACACUGGGACUGAGACACGGCCCAGACUCCUACGGGAGGCAGCAGUGGGGAAGAUUUCACAAUGGGCGCAAGCCUGAUGCAGCGACGCCGCGUGAGGGAUGGAGGCCUUCGGGUUGUAAACCUCUUUCGCCAGUGAAGCAGGCCUGUCCCUUGUGGGUGGGUUGACGGUAGCUGGAUAAGAAGCGCCGGCUAACUACGUG
rnacentral:rRNA from 1 species